AGCGAACGCUGGCGGCAGGCUUAACACAUGCAAGUCGAACGCCCCGCAAGGGGAGUGGCAGACGGGUGAGUAACACGUGGGAACGUACCCUUUGGUUCGGAAUAACUUGGGGAAACUCAAGCUAAUACCGGAUAAGCCCUUAUGGGGAAAGGUUUACUGCCGAAGGAUCGGCCCGCGUCUGAUUAGCUAGUUGGUGAGGUAAUGGCUCACCAAGGCGACGAUCAGUAGCUGGUCUGAGAGGAUGAUCAGCCACACUGGGACUGAGACACGGCCCAGACUUCUACGGGAGGCAGCAGUGGGGAAUAUUGGACAAUGGGGGCAACCCUGAUCCAGCCAUGCCGCGUGAGUGAUGAAGGCUUUAGGGUUGUAAAGCUCUUUUACCCGGGACGAUAAUGACUGUACCGGGAGAAUAAGCCCCGGCUAACUUCGUGCCAGCAGCCGCCGCAG
rnacentral:rRNA from 1 species